rnacentral:rRNA from 1 species
UACGGAGGGUGCGAGCGUUGUCCGGAAUCACUGGGCGUAAAGGGCGCGUAGGUGGCGCAGGAAGUCGACGGUGAAAGUUCGGGGCUCAACCCUGAAUCGGCCGUCGAUACUCCUGGGCUCGAGCACUGUAGAGGCAGAUGGAAUUCCGGGUGUAGCGGUGGAAUGCGUAGAGAUCCGGAAGAACACCGGUGGCGAAGGCGGUCUGCUGGGCAGUUGCUGACACUGAGGCGCGACAGCGUGGGGAGCAAACAGG